ensembl:rRNA 5S_rRNA 5S ribosomal RNA
UAAAGCAGCCAUAUCACCCUGCAACUCACAACUGGCAGCCCACUGAAGCUCAGCAGGUGUGAGCCUGGUCAGUACCAGGAUGGGAGACCUCCUGGGAAAAACUAAGGUUGCUGCUGGAA